AGACACAGAAGAGCCAGUUUCUGCCCGCUGCGGAGUUUCCCUCUUUGCAUGAAAACAACAAUGAAAUCUCUGUUGCUUUUCAUUUCCCUGUUCUCUGCCCCCUCAUGUGUCCUCUCCCAGGUGCAGCUGGUCCAAUCCGGCCCGGGAGUGGUGAAGCCGGGAGCGACCCUCAGUAUCACCUGUAAAGUUUCUGGAGUCUCCGUCAGCAGCUACUAUUGGAGCUGGAACCGGCAGCCCCCGGGAAAAGGGCUGGAGUGGAUGGGGUUUAUCCGGAGCACUGCACAGGGAGGGACCACAGAGUACAACUCGGCUCUGAAACCUCGGGUUACCAUCACCAGGGACACCUCGAAGGACGAAGUUUAUCUCCAGCUCCGUUCCCUGGCAGCUGCAGACAGCGGCACCUAUUACUGCGCCAGAGACACGGUGACACGGAGCGAAGCGGGACUGGCACAAAAAGGGGAAGCGGAUUUCUAAAUAGUCAGUGGACAUGAACAUUCAGUUAGUGCUGUAGGGGAUGAGACAGA